GGCUUCUGCAGGUUAUGGAAAUCUACCUGCAUAGACCUGAAUGCCUAGUUGAUGUCAUAAUCUGCAGUCGGAUUAUCUAGCCUUCUCCAGCACUGUUUUCAUUCAGCCUCUAAGGGCUGCAUCUCAUUGAAAACUAUUAGCACAUAUAAUGGCAAAAUCUUUAUCAGAUCUUGAUUCUGUGUGCUUUAUCAUCACUCACAAGUAUCAAGAAACUGAAGAUAUCUGGUAUGAUGAGGAAGACACAAAGCUGGAAGACCUACUGCAACACUGGCUGGAAAAAUAA
rnacentral:lncRNA from 1 species